rnacentral:rRNA from 1 species
UACGGGGGGGGCAAGCGUUGUUCGGAAUUACUGGGCGUAAAGGGUUUGUAGGCGGCCCGCUAAGUCACACGUGAAAUCCCUCAGCUUAACUGGGGAACUGCGUGUGAGACUGGCAGGCUCGAGGACUGUAGAGGGACGGAAUUCCGGGUGUAGCGGUGGAAUGCGUAGAGAUCCGGAAGAACACCGGUGGCGAAGGCGGCCUGCUGGGCUAUGGCUGACACUGAGGCGCGACAGCGUGGGGAGCAAACAGG